UACGUAGGGUCCGAGCGUUGUCCGGAAUUAUUGGGCGUAAAGGGCUCGUAGGCGGUUCGUCACGUCGGGAGUGAAAACUCGGGGCUUAACCCAGGAACUGCGUCCGAUACUGGCAGGCUUGAAUUCGGGAGAGGGAUGCGGAAUUCCUGGUGUAGCGGUGAAAUGCGCAGAUAUCAGGAGGAACACCAGCGGCGAAGGCGGCGCUCUGGGCCGGAACUGACGCUGAGGAGCGAAAGCGUGGGGAGCAAACAGG
rnacentral:rRNA from 1 species